GAUGAACGCUAGCGGCAGGCCUAACACAUGCAAGUCGAGGGGUAUCCCGCUUUCGGGCGGGAGAGACCGGCGCACGGGUGCGUAACGCGUAUGCAACCUACCCUGUACUGGGGGAUAGCCCGGAGAAAUUCGGAUUAACACCCCAUAGUACUAAUGAAUGGCAUCAUUUAUUAGUUAAAGGUUACGGUACAGGAUGGGCAUGCGUCCUAUUAGCUAGAUGGUAAGGUAACGGCUUACCAUGGCUACGAUAGGUAGGGGGCCUGAGAGGGUGGUCCCCCACACUGGUACUGAGGCACGGACCAGACUCCUACGGGAGGCAGCAGUGAGGAAUAUUGGUCAAUGGGCGCAAGCCUGAACCAGCCAUGCCGCGUGCAGGAAGACGGUCCUAUGGAUUGUAAACUGCUUUUAUUUGGGAAUAAACCUCUUUACGUGUAGAGAGCUGAAGGUACCAAAUGAAUAAGCACCGGCUAACUACGUGCCAGCAGCCGCCGUAACAC
rnacentral:rRNA from 1 species